UUGGGAAUGAGAAUCUGUUGACUAUACAGUCAGAAUAGCAUUUAUUGUGUUCAAGUUUAAGUGCAUACAUGUAAAAAGUGUCUUGAUGUAAAGCAAGACAUAACACCUGCAAUAAUGUUCAAAACAAAAGAGAAACAACUGAACACAAUUUUCAAACGGCUGGGACACCAUCCAUACCCUAAUUGUUCAAAGUUCAACCUGGUUUAACUUUCAACAUGCGUUCAAUGGCUGCAUGUGUAACAGGUGUUUAGUUUAGUUUAUUUAAUUCCACCAAAUUUGAGGUAAAUAGUUUUUUUUUACAUUUCUACCUGUGUGUUAGUCUGUCCGAGGGUAUUUGAACUCACCACGGUGACGCAGUAGACGGUGCUGCACAUGCGCACUCAGACUGCUCCAAACUGUGGCUGAGUUGUUACGGGGAAGCACUGACGAAAAUCCCAGACAGCCGUGUAACAUUUGUGUUUUCUGUCAACCAGGUAUGAUGUUAGUUCCUCAUUUUCUCAUGUUCUUUUCAUGUUUUAUUUCACGUGCUGUGGGGGGAGGUACAUGCACACUGAGACUGCUGCGAACUGUGGCUGAGUUGUUAGGGGGAAGCACUGACGAAAAUCCCAGACAGCCGUGUAACAUUUGUGUUUUCUGUCAACCAGAAUAAAGAAACUAAAUCAA